AACGAACGCUGGCGGCAGGCUUAACACAUGCAAGUCGAGCGCCCCGCAAGGGGAGCGGCAGACGGGGUGAGUAACGCGUGGGAACAUACCCUUUGGUUCGGAAUAACUCAGGGAAACUUGAGCUAAUACCGGAUACGUCCGUAAGGAGAAAGAUUUAUCGCCAAAGGAUUGGCCCGCGUCCGAUUAGCUAGUUGGUGAGGUAACGGCUCACCAAGGCUACGAUCGGUAGCUGGUCUGAGAGGAUGAUCAGCCACAUUGGGACUGAGACACGGCCCAAACUCCUACGGGAGGCAGCAGUGGGGAAUAUUGGACAAUGGGCGCAAGCCUGAUCCAGCCAUGCCGCGUGAGUGAUGAAGGCCCUAGGGUUGUAAAGCUCUUUCACCGGUGAAGAUAAUGACGGUAACCGGAGAAGAAGCCCCGGCUAACUUCGUGCCAGCAGCCGCGGUAAUGUGACUACUG
rnacentral:rRNA from 1 species